AGAGGAAUAGCUGGGUCAAAUGGUAGUUCCAUUCCCAGAUUUCCAAGGAAUCUCCAUACUGCUUUCCAAAUUGGCUGUACCAAUUUGCAGUCCCACCAGCAAU
rnacentral:pre_miRNA from 1 species